AAGCGGAGGAAAAGAAACUAACAAGGAUUCCCCUAGUAGCGGCGAGCGAAGCGGGAAGAGCUCAAAUUUAUAAUCUGGCACCUUCGGUGUCCGAGUUGUAAUCUCUAGAAAUGUUUUCCGCGUUGGACCGCACACAAGUCUGUUGGAAUACAGCGGCAUAGUGGUGAGACCCCCGUAUAUGGUGCGGACGCCCAGCGCUUUGUGAUACAUUUUCGAAGAGUCGAGUUGUUUGGGAAUGCAGCUCAAAUUGGGUGGUAAAUUCCAUCUAAAGCUAAAUAUUGGCGAGAGACCGAUAGCGAACAAGUACCGUGAGGGAAAGAUGAAAAGCACUUUGGAAAGAGAGUUAACAGUACGUGAAAUUGUUGGAAGGGAAACGCUUGAAGUCAGACUUGCUUGCUGAGCAAUCGGUUUGCAGGCCAGCAUCAGUUUUCCGGGAUGGAUAAUGGUAGAGAGAAGGUAGCAGUUUCGGCUGUGUUAUAGCUCUCUGCUGGAUACAUCUUGGGGGACUGAGGAACGCAGUGUGCCUUUGGCGGGGGUUUCGACCUCUUCACACUAGGAUGCGGGAAGGCAA
rnacentral:rRNA from 1 species